rnacentral:lncRNA from 10 species
UAAGUUGGUCAGUAGUUAAACUAACUAAAUUUGGCUGAAGAUUGCUAUGUUCACUAUGCAAAGAUUAGACCGUUAGUUCCCUGAGUGAAGAGAUGCUAUCUUGGUAUCUCCAGCUUCCAACCGGGGGCUUGGCACAGAAUAGGGGCUUGGUAAAUGUUUUCCAAAUGAAUGGGAUGUCUGAUGGAAAGAAGACAAGGUGAAGGAAUUCCUGGGUAAUAUGGAGAUGAGAAUCUGUGAGAAGGAUACAUGUACUGAUGCCUGUCGCGGUGGACACACAGACGCACACAUUGCGGAACACCACCAUAAGAAUAUUGAGAAUAUCGAGAACACUUCAAUAUUCCAAACUUCAAUGGAAAUAUACGUAGGUUUCACUUAAC